rnacentral:rRNA from 1 species
CUAGUAACGGCGAGUGAAGCGGCAACAGCUCAAAUUUGAAAUCUGGCCCUCGGGUCCGAGUUGUAAUUUGUAGAGGAUGCUUUUGGCGCGGUGCCUUCCGAGUUCCCUGGAACGGGACGCCUUAGAGGGUGAGAGCCCCGUACGGUUGGACACCAAGCCUCUGUAAAGCUCCUUCGACGAGUCGAGUAGUUUGGGAAUGCUGCUCUAAAUGGGAGGUAAAUUUCUUCUAAAGCUAAAUAUUGGCCAGAGACCGAUAGCGCACAAGUAGAGUGAUCGAAAGAUGAAAAGCACUUUGAAAAGAGGGUUAAAUAGCACGUGAAAUUGUUGAAAGGGAAGCGUUUGCGACCAGACCUUUUCCUAGCGGAUCAACCGGUGUUCUCACCGGUGCACUUCGCUAGGUUUAGGCCAGCAUCGGUUUCUGUAGGGGGAUAAAAGCUCUGGGAACGUAGCUCCUCCGGGAGUGUUAUAGCCCUCUGCAUAAUACCCUUACGGGGACCGAGGACCGCG